CCGGCUAGCACUCCGCACUCGCGGCUUAGGCUUAGCCCGGGAGAGACGUGGUGAAGAUGGGCUCUGGUUUCUAGCAGAACGACAAAACUCUGGAUUUCCCCAGGUUGUACCCUUCCCUUCUCUUCCCUUCUCUGCCUCAGCGCUGCUUUCUCAAACCGCCGAGGGUCAGAGCCUGUUUUGCAGGCCUCGGCUAAGCCUCUCGAGCUAUUUAUAGCUCCCAGGCAGAGGCAGAAGCGCAGCGGUCGCCAUUUUGAGCGCCGCUUUGAUUGCUCCUGAGGGGAGUGGGGGAACCUUCCCUUCCUUCCAGCGAGGGCCGUUUAGACUCAACUAGAGUCAGUUUUAGCCAGAAUUGAGUCUGCAGUCUUCUUAGUCAGCAAAUAGAAGCAGCUGCCGCAUUCAUUAACUCGGAUGUAACGACGGAGCAGGAGGCCGCUUGCUGGCGGCCGCCAUUUUGAGAGCCCAACAAACGCCCUCAGGCCAUUCCAGAAGGCCAGAGUUCAGGAGCGGUUUUUGGAAGGUGCUGCUUCUCCCAUCGUUGGCACCUCGCCGCACACCAAGGCUGUUACAAUUACAGGCAAAACCAACAGCCUCCUUCCAAAGACUUCAGUUGGUGGCUGAGUGCCUGCUUUAACUGCCGCCAUUUUCAGCGCCUCUUCCUACCACCGAUUUCGCUGCUUAUAACUGCUGACUACCCUCAUUAAGUUGGUCUUGUGGCCACUACCAGGCUUGUAAUUGUGCUGGCUACCCCACUAAGGUGGUCUUGCUGCCACCACUUCUAGCCAUCACUUGGCUCCUGGGACCACCUCUCUAUUGGAAACCCGUUGAGAUUGCCAUUUCUGUGAUAUCUCUUGACUUUUUUGCAAUGGCAGGUAAAGCCACAGCAGCUCAGGGUGUCUCCAGCAGUCCCUCCAGGCUGGGGAACGCCAGAUCAGCCAAGCAGGAGGCUGCUGGGAAACUCAGAGCCAGAGCUAUCGCUGGCAGAAAAUCUCCCAAAGCUGCUGGGAAAGAAGCAAACGGGAGGCAACAGGCAUUGGGAAAACAAUUCUCCAAUGCUGCAGGGCAACAGAACGAGGCAAAGGUUGAUGAGAUGACUUCGGUUCCCAUGGAAGUGUCGGUUUUUGACCCUCAACAAACUGCUUCAACCUCUGCUGCUCCAGGUGCCUGCUCUCCAGAAGGGGAAACAGGUCAGUCCAUUUCUCCCAUGGCAGAACAGGUGGAGAUGGUUGACCCUCAACAAGCUCCUUCGACCUCUGCUGCUCCAAGUGCCUGCUCUGCAGAAGGGGAAAGGUCCAUUUCUCCCAGGGCAGAACAGGUGGAGAUGGUUGACCCUCAACAAACUCCUUCGACCUCUGCUGCUCCAAGUGCCUGCUCUGCAGAAGGGGAAGCAGGUCAGUCCAUUUCUCCCAUGGCAGAACAGGUGGAGAUGGUUCCCCCUUCCAGUGAGGGGCUUGGCCUUCCGAUCCCUGCUCCUCCAAGUAAAGCUGGACCUCUGGGCCCAGAGGCCACAUUCACUCCUACAGCGGCAGGGCUUCGCCCUCCAGAGGCUCAAGAGAUAGCACUAUCAGAACAAAUGCAGCUUCUGAUUUCUCAGGCUGUUGCCCAAGCUGUAGCUUCGACCCUACACCAGAGAGCUCGACCUGAGUCGAUAGCAUCAGGAGUCCCAUCUCACAGCAAUGCAUCGUACCUCUCCCAGGUGGAAGCAGCCACAUACCAGGGGCCAGUAUCCCCCUUCAGUUCCUCCAGAAGGUCGUUCACGGGGGAUGACGAACAGAGAGAGCUGGGGCUGUCAGACGAUGAGGACUUACCUCCUGAUCCCCCUGCUUUCACAGGCCUGUUUAAUCCGGCCCUCCUUAAAUCCUUGCUUCACAAGGCCAGGAGCACUGCUCAACUUGGUCCUGAAGUUGUCCCUGAGGCUGAACCUUCCACCAGUCAGGGACCUACCAGUGUGAUCUGUUCACAGCCAACGUUUACCCAACAGGACAUUCCCUGUCCUCCCCUUUUCCUCAAUGAAGUCCAAAGACAAUGGGGAACGCCAAGUAAUUUUCCACAUCCGGCAGGGACUGAUAAACAGUUCUUUAAUGUGGCUCCAGCACUGUCAGAGGUGCUAGAAGUCCCCAGGGUAGAUGAGCCCUUAGCAACAACAAUUGAUCCCAACAUCACUGUGUCUGGAGAUAUAGCGGAGGUUCUGAAGUCAGAGGAUAAGAGAGCGGAGCAUAAUUUCCGCAAGACCCACCAAGCCUCAGCAUGGGCGGUAAAGGCAGCUACAGCAACUUCCUUUUUCGCCAGAGUUUCAGUCCUCUGGCUUCGCCAAUUACAGGCUAAGGUACCACCAGAAGAGGUACGGAUGCACCAAGAUUUAAAUAAAUUAGUGGCUGCAUCAGAAUACAUGGCUGACUCAUCCUCGCACGCGGCCAGAUUUUCCUCCCAAGCAUUAGCAUCUAAUGUUACCUCUCGCAGACUUCUGUGGCUCAGACAGUGGAAAGCGGAUGUUAAGUCCAAGUGGCGGUUGGCCUCAUCCCCUUACAGGGGAGGCCAGUUAUUUGGAGAGGCACUAAACCCUUAUCUGACUGAGAGGAAGGAUAAGCGUAAAGUCAUGUCCCCUCUUCUUAAGAGACCGAACAAGAAAGCUACCCCUUAUCCCCGCAAGAGGUUCUAUCCUCAUCCUCACAGCUCAACCAACACAGGGUCGGAAUUCACCCAUUACUCCCCUCCUCAUCCUCCCAGACCAGACCCUCAAUUCGACAGAUCUGGUUACAGAGGCAGACCCAGACAGCAAUUUCAGUCUAAACGGCCCUUUCGAGGCAGAGGCCGUCCUUUCAGAAGAUCCUAGUGACACCAGAGGUGCCUCUCCCAUAGGGAGCAGAUUGGCUCUCUUUACAUGCAAAUGGGAGAACACCACUACAGAUCUCUGGAUCCUCCACACCAUCAGAUUCGGCCUGACUCUAGAAUUCAACUCCACCCCCCCGAGGCAUUUCGUCUCUUGCCCAUCAUCCAAAAAUCCGGUCAAAAUAAGCCUCAUGAAAGAGGCCGUUCGACAUCUCCUGGAGAUCCACACCAUAGAACCGGUACCGGUAGGGCAGAAGGGACGGGUUUUUUUAUUCCACUCUGUUCAUCAUUCCGAAGGCCUCGGGAGGGUGGAGGGCAAUUCUAGAUUUAAAGAAAUUAAAUAUCCAUGUGUCACAGAAAAAGUUCAAGAUGCAAAUGCUCCAAUCCCUAUUAGCAGACAUCAGAAGGGGGGACCUGACGUUCAUCGACCUGACGGAGGCCUACCUAUACGUUCCCAUCCUUCCCGGCCACCAUUUUCAGUACAGAGCUCUACCAUUUGGCUUGUCAUCGGCCCCCAGAGCGUUCACGAAGGUCCUGGCGGCGCUCGCCGUGCAUCUCAGGACCGUUCCGUGUCCAGUGUUGUUUGCACGACAUCCUCAUUCGAUCCUCAGUCCAAUUGGCUCAGUCAGAACUGGCAUUGUCCAUCAAGAGCUUUCAGGACCACAGGCUUUCAGUAAAUGUUCAGGAAAGCCAGCUAGUUCCCUCCACCCGCCUCCUUCAUCUGGGCACGGUGGUAGAUACAAGGAAGUGCGAGGUUUACCUGCCUCAGGAACAUUGGGGUAGUAUCCAAUCUCUCCUCGUUGGAGGAUACCCCAAGAUGGAAUCUCCUUCAGAUAGGGGGUUCUACAUUGGCUCCAGCUAACCGGCGGGCAUUUGAAAGACUCCCAACAAAAGAGCUACUCAUCAGAGGUGAUUACCACGAUUCAGGCUUCAAGAAGGCCUGCAACUAAUAGGAUCUAUGAUUCCGCAUGGAAGAAUUUAUGUAACUGGUGUGGGAGACAACAAUUAGAUCCAGCUACAAUUCCUAUUCCAAGAAUUUUGGAUUAUUUACUGGAGGGACUUAAGAGGGGGUUUAGCACCCAACAGAAUCCGCAGAAAAGUUGCUGCCUUGUGCACAGUGCUCAAAUAUGGCAACUCAGAGCCCUUGGCUUAACACCCCAUGAUACAUUCCUCUGUCAGGGGAGCAAUCAACAGCAAACCGCCUGUGGUUCACAGAUAUCCCCCUUGGGACCGCUCCAAGGUCUUACAGGCUCUCACUUCCCCUCCAUUUGAGCCCGUCAGAAAGUCCACGUCCGAUUCUGGACACUCAAGGCUGCCUUAGUUACAUCGGCUCAGAACAUCUCAGAAUUGGCAGCACUCUCCAUUAGAGAUGACUUAUGUAUUUUUCUACGCUUAAUGACUUACGUAUGUUUCUAUGCUUACACCCCUCCUUUAUCCUCAAAAUCAACUCAUCGUCUCACAGGGCGCAGGAGCUUGUGCUGCCAGAUUAUUGCCCUGAGUCGUCCCAUGAUUUGGAAUGUAAAUGGCACACCUUGGGCGUUCGCAGAGCCUUGCGUUGGUAUAUUAAGCAAACUGCCCCUUUUCGCAACUCUGAAGCCCUCUUCGUUCUAGGACAACUCACUGCACACUCCACUCGCAGUGUGGCAACUUCGGCGGCGGCGGCAACAUAAGUGUCCAUCAAAGAGAUCUUGCGAGGCAGCGAUGUGGUCGUCACCUUCCCCAUUUGUGAAGCUUUAUAAGUUAUGUUAGCCUCAGCAGACGCUUCAUUUGGCAGGAGACUCUUCCAAAGGAUAGUAACAGAGAGUGGGACACAGGCCCAGACUUCUUCCCGCCCGUGGGAACAAUGAGGCUUUGGUAUGUCCCAUCUGUGGAUCCUCCAUUCGUCAUGCUGGAGAAGGGAGGUUGUCUUACCUGAACACUUUCUCAGCAUGAUGAUGGAGAAUCCACUCCCCCCCCCCCCCAAGGGUUCAUCCGGUCCUGUGUCGGGGGAAUUUGAGCCACCACCAGCUUGGGAAAUCAUCAACUGCUGUGCCUUCGUGGUGACUGGGGAUUCCUAGCCGGAGGAAGAGAGGCGUGGCAAAAGGUUGAUUGACAUAGUCUCUAGGGCAGAAAGGCAAGAUCAACCCAUCCGUGGAUUCUCCAUCGUCAUGCUGAGAAAAGGCGUUCAGCGUUUUGGGCCGAGAGGACCCCGGUUCACGAAGCCGCCCGAAGCGGGGAGAUCCA